CAGUCGCCACGGUAAUACGUAGGCGGCAAGCGUUGUCCGGAAUUAUUGGGCGUAAAGGGAGCGCAGGUGGGACGGUAAGUCCGUCUUAAAGGGCAGGGCUCAGCCCCUGUAAGGGAUGGAAACUAUCGAUCUUGAGUGCCGUAGAGGAAAGCGGAAUUCCCAGUGUAGCGGUGAAAUGCGUAGAUAUUGGGAAGAACACCAGUGGCGAAGGCGGCUUUCUGGACGGCAACUGACACUGAGGCUCGAAAGCCAGGGGAGCGAACGGGAUUAGAUACCCGAGUAGUCCCUGUCUCUUAUACAC
rnacentral:rRNA from 1 species